rnacentral:rRNA from 1 species
AUUGAACGCUGGCGGCAGGCCUAACACAUGCAAGUCGAACGGUAACAGGAAGCAGCUUGCUGCUUCGCUGACGAGUGGCGGACGGGUGAGUAAUGUCUGGGAAACUGCCUGAUGGAGGGGGAUAACUACUGGAAACGGUAGCUAAUACCGCAUAACGUCGCAAGACCAAAGAGGGGGACCUUCGGGCCUCUUGCCAUCGGAUGUGCCCAGAUGGGAUUAGCUAGUAGGUGGGGUAACGGCUCACCUAGGCGACGAUCCCUAGCUGGUCUGAGAGGAUGACCAGCCACACUGGAACUGAGACACGGUCCAGACUCCUACGGGAGGCAGCAGUGGGGAAUAUUGCACAAUGGGCGCAAGCCUGAUGCAGCCAUGCCGCGUGUAUGAAGAAGGCCUUCGGGUUGUAAAGUACUUUCAGCGGGGAGGAAGGGAGUAAAGUUAAUACCUUUGCUCAUUGACGUUACCCGCAGAAGAAGCACCGGCUAACUCCGUGCCAGCCGCCGCCGUAAAAC